rnacentral:rRNA from 1 species
GAUGAACGCUGGCGGCGUGCCUAAUACAUGCAAGUCGAGCGAACAGAUAAGGAGCUUGCUCCUUUGACGUUAGCGGCGGACGGGUGAGUAACACGUGGGUAACCUACCUAUAAGACUGGAAUAACUCCGGGAAACCGGGGCUAAUGCCGGAUAACAUGUUGAACCGCAUGGUUCUACAGUGAAAGGCGGCUUUGCUGUCACUUAUAGAUGGACCCGCGCCGGAUUAGCUAGUUGGUGAGGUAACGGCUCACCAAGGCAACGAUACGUAGCCGACCUGAGAGGGUGAUCGGCCACACUGGAACUGAGACACGGUCCAGACUCCUACGGGAGGCAGCAGUAGGGAAUCUUCCGCAAUGGGCGAAAGCCUGACGGAGCAACGCCGCGUGAGUGAUGAAGGUCUUCGGAUCGUAAAACCCUGUUAUUAGGGAAGAACAAAUGCGUAAGUAACUGUGCGCGUCUUGACGGUACCUAAUCAGAAAGCCACGGCUAACUACGUG